rnacentral:rRNA from 1 species
AACCUGGCGUGGUUGAUGCUGGUCUUUUCGAAGGCAUGUGCACACCUUGCCAUCUUUAUAUCUCCACCUGUGCACCUUUUGUAGACCUGGAUUCAUCUUUCCGAGGCAACUCGGUCGUGAGGAACUGCUUAACAGCUUUCCUUGUUAGUUUCCAGGCCUAUGUUUUCAUAUACACCAUAAGAAUGUAACAGAAUGUCAUUAUUAGGCUUAAUUGCCUUAUAAACUAUAUACAACUUUCAGCAACGGAUCUCUUGGCUCUCGCAUCGAUGAAGAACGCAGCGAAAUGCGAUAAGUAAUGUGAAUUGCAGAAUUCAGUGAAUCAUCGAAUCUUUGAACGCACCUUGCGCUCCUUGGUAUUCCGAGGAGCAUGCCUGUUUGAGUGUCAUUAAAUUCUCAACCUUUAUUAACUUUUUAGCUAGUAAAUGGAUUGGAAGUGGGGGUAUGUUGGUUUCUUUAUUGAAAUGAACUCCCCUGAAAUGCAUUAGCUGGUUGCCUUGUGCAAACAUGUCUAUUGGUGUGAUAAUUAUCUACGCCGUGGACUAUUUGCCGUUUAUAGCACUGCUUAUAACUGUCUGUUCAUUCAGACAAUAUAUGACAAUUUGACCUCAAAUCAGGUAGGACUACCCGCUGAACUUAAGCAUAUCAAUAA